UACGAAGGGGGCUAGCGUUGCUCGGAAUCACUGGGCGUAAAGGGUGCGUAGGCGGGUCUUUAAGUCAGAGGUGAAAUCCUGGAGCUCAACUCCAGAACUGCCUUUGAUACUGAGGAUCUUGAGUACGGGAGAGGUGAGUGGAACUGCGAGUGUAGAGGUGAAAUUCGUAGAUAUUCGCAAGAACACCAGUGGCGAAGGCGGCUCACUGGCCCGUUACCGACGCUGAGGCACGAAAGCGUGGGGAGCAAACAGG
rnacentral:rRNA from 1 species